UGGGGAAUCUUGCGCAAUGCGCGAAAGCGUGACGCAGCAACGCCGCGUGGGCGAAGAAGGCCUUCGGGUCGUAAAGCCCUUUCAGCAGGGACGAAGCUCCGGCAGCGAAUAGCUGUCCGGAGUGACGGUACCUGCAGAAGAAGCCCCGGCUAACUACGUGCCAGCAGCCGCGGUAAUACGUAGGGGGCCAGCGUUGUCCGGAAUCAUUGGGCGUAAAGAGCGCGUAGGCGGCCAGAUAAGUCCGGUGUGAAAGUCACAGGCUCAACCUGUGAAUGCCGCUGGAAACUGUCUGGCUAGAGUCCGGGAGGGGCGAGUGGAAUUCCUGGUGUAGCGGUGAAAUGCGCAGAUAUCAGGAGGAACACCAAUGGCGAAGGCAGCUCGCUGGAACGGUACUGACGCUGAGGCGCGAAAGCGUGGGGAGCAAACAG
rnacentral:rRNA from 1 species